GAUGAACGCUGGCGGCGUGCCUAAUACAUGCAAGUAGAACGCUGAAGGAAGGAGCUUGCUCUUUCCGGAUGAGUUGCGAACGGGUGAGUAACGCGUAGGUAACCUGCCUGGUAGCGGGGGAUAACUAUUGGAAACGAUAGCUAAUACCGCAUAACAGUAGAUAUUGCAUGAUAUCUGCUUGAAAGGGGCAAUUGCUCCACUACCAGAUGGACCUGCGUUGUAUUAGCUAGUUGGUGAGGUAACGGCUCACCAAGGCGACGAUACAUAGUCGACCUGAGAGGGUGAUCGGCCACACUGGGACUGAGACACGGCCCAGACUCCUACGGGAGGCAGCAGUAGGGAAUCUUCGGCAAUGGACGGAAGUCUGACCGAGCAACGCCGCGUGAGUGAAGAAGGUUUUCGGAUCGUAAAGCUCUGUUGUAAGAGAAGAACGAGUGUGAGAGUGGAAAGUUCACACUGUGACGGUAUCUUACCAGAAAGGGACGGCUAACUACGUG
rnacentral:rRNA from 1 species